AAACUCCAUCUACUCUUUCGCAGCAACAACCUCCAUCUGUAAACUUCAUUAUGAAUUUUGAUUUGCUAUUGAUUUUUCUGUUUAGAUUUUCGGUAUAUGGACAGUGAAUCAAUUCAACCUACGUUGUUUUGAUUGUUUAAAUGAAGGAGAAUUAAGGGCUCGCCGACCUAGCAAUUGGAUGUGGUGCCGAAAGAGGUGAAUGAGUCAUGGCAGUUAUCUUUUUUUAUUUUUUAUUUUUUUUACAACUGUGCAUAUGACUGUCGUAUUGUUUCAAGUUGAUGUUGUGAUGUUAUUGAAGAAUUAUGUGGUAAGCUUGAAAACGGAAGGUAUAUAACAACAGAAGAGUGAUUAUGCCUCUGAAGUACUUGAUAAAAUGCUUGAAAAAAAGUUUUACCUCAAAAACAUUACUGUUGGCACUCUCAUUGCUGGGAUGUGGAAGUAACGAGGUAAGUGAUGCCAUUGAAUUGUAUAAAAAGAUGGUGAACGGGAAUGAUAAGCCAUUUUUUUAAUGCGACCGUAAAUGGUCAUUGCAAAGUCGUUUUAAUCGGUCAGGAUUUUAGUUUCUUCUUUGAAAUGGUUAGUGAUCUUCUUGGGAUGAUUUUCCUCCUCCACAUUCACAGAUUAUUUUCUUCUUCUUUUCUUCUGUAACGCCUCUUACUCAUGAUUAAAGUUAUUACUUCCUCUCAAAACCCUGGGAAUGAAAAACCCCUGAUCUUCUUAUUGUUAAAUUAAAACGCUCAUCCAUUAGUCUUAAGAUUUCUCAGUAUAUAAUCUCUCCGACGAUUCAAAAAUACUAUCGCUCAUUUACUCGAACAAGUAGGCUUCUCUCAGUGUUGUUUUCAUCGAUUCAUUGGCUUUGAAUCAGUUGAGCCAUUGAUCUCAAUCAAGAGGUACGGCUAAAAUCCCUAGGUUCAUCUGUGUUUGUGAUUUUAGUAGGUGUUCUCUGCUUAAUUGUGCUUUAUUUUGGCAUUUGAACUUUGGUGAACAAAUUUAUAGAAUUUAUCAUGUGGAUAUAUUUGUUUGCUAAAUUCAGUAGUAAUUUUUAGUUUUAUCUUUACAGGGUUUAGUAGUAGUUUUAAUUUGGAAUUUCAAUCUGAUGGAUUUUCAGAUUUAAAACCAUCAAAUUUGCAGGUGGAGCAAGUGAAAGAUCUUUCCAAAUCCUAGAUGUGAAAGAGGACGCAGAAGCCUUAUAUACAGUAGAACUCAUUACUAUUCGUGGAGCUUGCUAUAAAAAAAAUUCCAACUGGAGAGACUCUUUAAUUAUUCUAAUGUAAUUGGUAGCGAAUGACAAAAAGGAGCUAAUGCCAUAUCUUUCCAAGAGAUUCAGAGGCAGCCCUGAACUGGGAUCACCUCUCUUUCAACAACUUCUUUGGCUUUUUCAUGGGAUUGACUGUAAGGUCUAGGCAAGAGCUAUAGUUUUGAAUGCUCUGGAGUAACAACAUUGAUCUUUUAAGACUUUGCUUCCACAAUAUUUGCACGUGAAUGAGGCAUUUCCGUACAUAUUAUUUCAUGUGUGUCAUGUCGGACAUUGAAGGGUUCCAUGUUUGAAGGAUAAAAUUAAAGGAGACAACUCCAAGCAGCCAUGCUAUACAUUCUACAGAGGAAGCUUCGAGUUUUCAUCGUCUGUUUGCUUCUUUCCAUGCAUCUGUGAAAGGUUUUGAACAAGGUUGAUACCAUUUCCUUUUCCUCAAUAUAAGACCUUUGAACUCAAAAUACCUUUUUUUUCUGCAAACCGCUGCGGAUGGGGAUGAUGAUAUAUUCUCAGUUGUAUUUUCCAUAGUAGAUGCGGAGACCAAUAAUAGCUGGCACUUUUUUUUGAGGUGACAACAUCAAUGUUCACUUCUCAGAUUACGUUUGCAAAAGAUAUGCAAGGAUGAUGCUAAACAAAGCUACUGUCUACUGCUCUCUCCGUCCCUAAUUAGAUGAACUAUUUGGUUUUUAGUUUUGUCCGAUAAUAGAUGAGCUAUUUCACUAAUUAAGGGGUAUUUCUAAAACUAUCCUUUUAAUUGAUUACUGUUACUAUAUGAAAUAUGUAUAAUUUGAUAGUCAUGUUUAUAUU